AGCGGUAGAGGAGCAUUCUGUAGUAGGGUGAAGUAUGAUCGAAAGGACAUAUGGACGAGGCAGAAGAGAGAAUGCUGGAAUAAGUAGCGAGAGCAAAGUGAGAAUCUUUGCCGUCGAAAGUCUAAGGUUUCCUGGGGAAGGUUCGUCCGCCCAGGGUAAGUCGGGACCUAAGGUGAGGCCAAGGAGGCGUAGCCGAUGGAUAGCAGGUAUAAAAUUCCUGCACUACCGAAAUACUUAAAAACGAUAAGGGACGCAGGAGAGGAAGGAAAUCCGGGAAGAGGAAAAACCGGAGCCGAAAGGCAUAGUGAAAAUUUAAAGUAACGAAGUUCCAAGAAUCACACUGACGAGAAAAGCUUAUUGACAUUGUAUUAAGGUACCCGUACCGCAAACCGACACAGGUAGAUGAGGAGAGGAUCCUAAGACGAGCGAGAGAAGUACUGUUAAGGAACUCGGCAAACUAACCCCGUAACUUAGGGAGAAGGGGUACCUAUGUAAAAGUAGGUCGCAGAGAAGAGUCCCAAGCAACUGUUUAACAAAAACACAGGUUUCUGCUAAAUCGAAAGAUGAAGUAUAGGAGCUGACGCCUGCCCAGUGCUGGAAGGUUAAGGGGAAAUGUUAGAGUAAUCGAAGCAUAGAACUAAAGCCCCAGUGAACGGCGGCCGUAACUAUAACGGUCCUAAGGUAGCGAAAUUCCUUGUCAGGUAAGUUCUGACCCGCACGAAAGGCGUAAUGAUUUGGGAGCUGUCUCGACAGUAUACUCGGCGAAAUUGUAGUACUAGUGAAGAUGCUAGUUACCUGCGACAAGACAGAAAGACCCCAUGGAGCUUUACUGUAGCUUGAUAUUGGGUUUCGGUAAUUUAUGUACAGGAUAGGUGGGAGACUAUGAAGCAAGAGCGUCAGCUUUUGUGGAGUCACCCUUGGGAUACCACCCUUAAAUUAUUGGAAUUCUAACCUGUGAUCAUGAACUGGUCAGGGGACAAUGUCAGGCGGGCAGUUUGACUGGGGCGGUCGCCUCCUAAAGAGUAACGGAGGCGCCCAAAGGUUUCCUCAACCCGGACAGAAAUCGGGUGAAAGAGUGCAAAGGCAGAAGGAAGCUUAACUGAAAGACAGACAUGUCGAGCAGAUACGAAAGUAGGGCUUAGUGAUCCGGUGGUAUGUGAGUGGAAAUGCCAUCGCUCAACGGACAAAAGUUACCCUGGGGAUAACAGGCUUAUCUCUCCCAAGAGUUCACAUCGACGGGGAGGUUUGGCACCUCGAUGUCGGCUCAUCGCAUCCUGGAGCGGAAGUACGUUCCAAGGGUUGGGCUGUUCGCCCAUUAAAGCGGUACGCGAGCUGGGUUCAGAACGUCGUGAGACAGUUCGGUCCUUAUCUGUCGCAGGCGCAGGAUAUUUGAAGGGAGUUGUCCUUAGUACGAGAGGACCAGGAUGAACAUACCGAUGGUGCAACAGUUGUCACACCAGUGGCAUAGCUGUGUAGCUAAGUAUGGAAGGGAUAAACGCUGAAAGCAUCUAAGUGUGAAGCCCACCCUAAGAUAAGAUAUCCCACAACGUUAAGUUGGUAAGAUACCAGGAAGACUAACUGGUUGAUAGGUUGGAGGUGUAAGUGCAGUAAUGCAUUAAGCUGACCAAUACUAAUAUAUCGAGGGCUUAACCAU
rnacentral:rRNA from 1 species